AUUGAACGCUGGCGGCAUGCCUAACACAUGCAAGUCGAACGGCAGCACAGUAUGUAGCAAUACAUAUGGGUGGCGAGUGGCGGACGGGUGAGUAACGCGUGGGAAUCUGCCCUAUAGUGGGGGACAACCCGACGAAAGUCGGGCUAAUACCGCAUACGCCUACGGGGAAGGACGUUCGGCCGGCCUAUUGGAUGAGCCCGCGUCGGAUUAGCUAGUUGGUGAGGUAAUGGCUCACCAAGGCGACGAUCCGUAGCUGGUCUGAGAGGACGAUCAGCCACACUGGGACUGAGACACGGCCCAGACUCCUACGGGAGGCAGCAGUGGGGGAAUAUUGCACAAUGGGCGAAAGACCUGAUGCAGCAAUGCCGCGUGUGUGAUGAAGGCCUC
rnacentral:rRNA from 1 species